UCCUGACCACACCAUCAACUCCUGGGAAAUCAACUGUACAUCUGGGAAAACAGUUGGGCAUUCCAGCCCAGGAGUACAGCAUGGGAAAGCUGGCAUACGGAAAGUCCUCCUCAAGGAUGUCUGGGCAGCAUCCGAGGCUGGAGGGAUGUCCACAGGUCCCUGGAGAGCAAGCCCUGCUGCCCAUCCUUCCUCCAUCCCUCCACCAGCCUGGAUGCCGGCACGGGUCAGCCGGGAUGCUGCGGGAGCGGGCAGAUGUGCUUGUAAUUAGGAUGCAUCAAAUCAGUUAAAGCUGAAAACAAAGAAAAUUAGAGAAAAUGAAGAGGAAAUGAAACGGCUCGUGCAGAUGCAGGGGAAAUAUUUUUAGUCCUCUAAGUCCAUGGUGUCUGUUGUUUGGAAGAGUCCACGCUGAAUCCUCCCAGGACUUGCUUCCUUUCAAAUGAGGUUGCCAUCUCCCAGUGCUGCAAUUAGUCGUGUCCGUGCAGCUUCUGUGGAGUACAACCAAAGCACUUAAUUUUCAUUAAAAAGACGACAUUGGGAGCAGUUUUGAAGGACAGGCACAGGCACUGGUAACUGUGUUCCUGAGGAUGGAAUGGGACACGCAGAUGCAUAAAUUACCGGGCUCCUUUUCCACACUCCUUCCUCUGCUUCUCUGCAAAGAAGAUUGACUUGAUUGUAGGUGCCUCUCUGAUAUCUCUUUGUAAACCCUAUUUACAUUUGUGUUAGAUAAUUCAGUAUAUCCAUAAAUUAGUGUUGAACAUCAGUUGGUUUUACAGAAGCGUUGCAUAAUCUCCGCCUCAUGGGUGUUCACGGCCCAUCCCAGGAUCCCAGCAGAGGCAGGGGAGGCCAGUGAGUGUUGGCAGCAAGGACCCAUUCUCCUGACAUCCCCUGGAGGCUCCCAUCAAUUUAUGGCUGACCCACCACACGCUGGACACUGCCCAAAUCUGGAGGGGCAUUGGCAACUCCAUUUGAUUUAACUCUCCUUAAGGUGGGAAGUGAUGGGACUGCAUCCACCUUGCUCAGCAUCACAUUGGCAUGAGAGCUGUCCUUGCUCCAGGAGCACUUCCCUGCAUUGGAGCAAUCCAGGAAUGCCCCCAGACUCUGGACAACAUUCUCCACAACCCACCCCAUCCCAUCCUGUCACUGCACUCCAGCACAAGCCUUGUCCUUGAAACCAGAGCUGGAUAAAAUAGGGUCAUUUUUAUUUUUCAAGUUUUCCAUGUUCAUAAAAGCAAAGAUUCGUGUGGCUGAGCCUGAAGACAAACUGCUUCAAAGAGCAAUUUUAAUUGAAAUGAUAAUGAUGAAAGUUUUGCAGCCAAAAAUUGAAAAGUGCAUUACUGCAUCCCCUCCCUCCUCCUGUUACACGUCCAUGCAAAGCAGCAACAAAAAUAGGAGCCUUUUGUGAGAGUCUCUCCAUGAGUGGUACCAGUUUCCUCAGUCCACAGAUUAUCUUUUUCUCUGUAAAAAUCACUAAGGGACUUCACUGUCCCAAUUCUCUGCAGCUUUCCUCAUGUUCUUCCCGUGCAGUGCUGGGGUCCUGCCAGUGCACAGGACCUGCCCCUCACCAGAGGCUGCACGUCCAGAAGUGUCCUUGAAAGAGUGAAAUUUAAGAGGUUUUUAGAAAGGAAAAGGCAGAGGGUCCGGGAUGGCCCCCAAGGGAUGGCUGGAUGCCAGCAGGGCCGGGAUGGAGCCCCGAGGCCGUGCCCCCAGCUGGAGCACUGCCGGCUGCUGGCAGGAGCUCAGAGCCCUGGGGAGGGAAAAGCUCCUCCGCUCCCCAAACAGAAAACGGCUGCUGGUUCCCCUCUCCUUGGCAUUAAUCUCUGUCCCUCCUGGGAAAUUAUGCCACGAUAAAUCUUUAUUUCUCAUGAUGGCUUGCCAGCUUUAAUAAUGAUUUCGCGGGGGAUGGGAGAUGCCGGCGAGCCGGAGCACGGGCUGGAGGAUGCUCCGCUCCUCCGGCACACACCGACAGGCACCCCUGCUAUCCUGGAAUUUAUUCAGUACCCACGUGGAACUGAAUGGAGUGAAAUGUGGGUCUUCAGACCCUCCCCUCGGAAGAGCUGCUCGGUCUCUCCAUGUGUGGGAAUGUAGGAAUUAAGCAGUGCCGGGGAGUUCUAUUGUUUUCUAACUCAAUAGAAGCCAUUUGUAGAACUGUGCUUAUGAACGAUGGAAUUUGUACUUAGUUCCUGCAGUAUGCGACUGGCAAACAUGAGCAAUUGAGUUUUCCCUUAUUUGUGGAAGUAACUGAAUGGCCAAAUCCAAUUACUCCUGGAGAUUCUGCCACUGUGCAGAGAGCAGCCUGAGCUUCUCUCCAAGGCGGAGUGGCUGGUGCUCCUGGGGAGCUGCAGGAUGCUCAGGAUCCUGCUCUAGGCCACUCCACCCCUGCCUCUCUCUCACCCACUCCGAGGAGCAGGGAAUUGAGAAUAGACAUUAAAUGCCCGAUGAAAACGUGACCUACGGCUGAGGAAGAUGAGAAGAAGAUGCUGCACAGGGAGAGCAGGGCUGUUGGGUCUCACCCCAGGAGCUGUGACAGCUGCCAUAUGUCCCCUUGACGAGCAGCCCACCGAGCUGAUGCCAAGCUGGUGGGAUCCACCUCCUGUCCCACCUGCCCGGCAGCCAGGGCUCCGCUUGCCCUGCAGCCAGCACAGCAGAACAGCUUCGGCCGGAUGAGCACCAACUGUUUUUGCAGGGAGUUACUAUAGAAACUAUCUCAACGCCUCUUUUUGUGCAGCCUCGUUGCUGCUAAUAAAUAGCCUCAUUAUUUUGCAAAAAGUGCUCGGGAAACAGGGAGCAGCAUGACUUGGGUCGAGGCAGAAUUAAUGGUCGAAAAUAGUGGGGCCAUUUUUCCCUGUGCCGUGAAAAGCGGGGAGGCCGGGGCUCCAUUAGGGAGAGUUAUGGCUCAUUUCUCUGCUUCUGCUGUAUUUAUGUUUUAUGUAUUCAAAAGUGAUUUCAGCCACAAUCCCAAAUUACCAAUUCCCACAUUACAUUAAACGGCUGUGAACAGCAAUGCCUCCUGCCUAUCAAAAUAAACCAGUGAGUGCCGUGCAGGGAGCCAGCUCCUCCCUGGUGCUUGCCAGCACAGCUAGAGGGACAGUGUUCUAGGGGCUGCCAGGCUGAUGCCAGGGACAUCACCAGUGCCCAAGGCAGAUUAUCCCUGAUUUCCAACCUCAGCAGUCAUAGACAUCUUCAUUUCUCUGCCCAGAGCCUUAAACUGAAACAUUUCCUUUUCCCUUCAAGCCCCAGUGCCCCUGAGCAGCCCCAGAGAGGAUCAUUAAAAUAUUAACAGGAAUAACACAAUAACAGGAAUAAUACAACCCUCCAAAGAGAAGCUAAAACACACAUCACUCUUUAUGUACUCACAGGUCCUGUUGAUUCUGUCUGUUAAUGCCAUCCCUCUCCCAGCUGGAGACGUGUUCCAUCCAGGCAGGGCUGGCCUCUGGAAUAUGCUGGGGAGUGCACAGGCUUGUGGAGUUUGCACUGGGGUCUUGGAUCUUUGUGGGCAUCAGCCCUCUGCCUGAUCAGGACCAUCAUCAGCCCAUGGUUCACACCCAGACCACACUUAGCACAUCCCGCUGGUUCUGGAGACUCCCCCAGCUUCUCUGGAUCUGAGUAGUCUUAUCUGACUCGGGUCCAAGAUCCAGCUUGCUUGGUCACCUGAAAAACCUCUGGAUUUGUAUACAGGCUUCAUUACAAAUACCACCUGCAUCCUCUGACCCACAUGCAGUCCCACUAACAGUCCUAUUCACAGUCCUACUCACAGUCCUACUUGCAGUCCUACAUGCAGUUCAGCAGCAAGUCGUUCUGGUGCUUGAAAAUGGAGUGAUUUUAGGGAAAAGCUCCACUGCCAGCUCUUGGACCAUGGUUUUCUGACAGAUCUUUAUCUGCCUCUCACCAUGGGGAGCAUGACAGCUCUGAUGGUUGGGAUGGGGUUUGCACUGCCCUGCCUGCAGCUGCCUGACUCCUACUAAAUGGCAUAUUAUCACUCAUGGAUCUUAGAGGCAAAUAUUGCCCAGGAGAAGAUGAGUUGGAUAUUUACCGUACGGGAGGCUGGAAGCUGGCAGUGCCCACAGCAAACCCCCAGCGUGGGCAGCAGAUGUCUUUGACUGCCCCUGCUGUGCCUGCAGUCAGGGGCAGCUUCCCCAUCCACCCACUUACAAAAUCUCUCACAGCCACAGAGUUUCCUCUCCCUUGCUCAGGAAAAGCCGGACGUCACUGUGAUAUUCUCAUGCCACGUCUGUGUGUGUUGGCAUUUUUGUGAAGAUCUGAAAGAAAACUAGAACUGAUCACGCUGGUUUGCCCCUGGCAGGAGCCACCACAGACAAAUAGGAAACACAGCUCUCCACGGCUCUUCUUGGGGAUCAAACUAAUGACUUGCAUGGUGUAGACCCAACAUCGCGAUGGGAGGCAGCCAGGCAUCAGCGAAAACGAUGGGGAAUAGAAUGAAUCAUUUGUCUUCCCUGAGAAGGAAGAGUGAGAAACACAGCCCCUUAACUCUUCCACAGCCACCUGCCACUGCUGCUGGUGUUCCCAGGGUCCCUGACGGACAGGCAGGAGGGAGAAAAGGAGCACAGGAGACAGAUGAAAGGACAUCACCAUGCUGGCAUGUCCCCGUUUUUAGGAUGGAUGCGGACUUGCUCUCCAGAACAGGCUGGCUGUCAGCAAUUGCUUAUUUUGCUGUUAACAACACAGAACCACUUAUGGAAAAGAAUUUCACUUCCUUGAUAAUGCUAAUAAAGUGGAUUUGGCUUUG